ACUAACAGGAUUCCCCUAGUAACUGCGAGUGAAGCGGGAAAAGCUCAAAUUUGAAAUCUGGCGGUCCUUUGCGGCCGUCCGAGUUGUAAUCUGGAGAAGUGCUACCCGCGCUGGACCGUGUACAAGUCUCCUGGAAUGGAGCGUCACAGAGGGUGAGAAUCCCGUCUUUGACACGGACUGCCAGGGCUUAUGUGGUGCGCUCUCGAAGAGUCGAGUUGUUUGGGAAUGCAGCUCUAAAUGGGUGGUAAAUUCCAUCUAAAGCUAAAUACAGGCGAGAGACCGAUAGCGAACAAGUACCGUGAGGGAAAGAUGAAAAGAACUUUGGAAAGAGAGUUAAACAGUACGUGAAAUUGCUGAAAGGGAAACGUUUGAAGUCAGUCGCGUUGGCUGGGGAUCAACCUUGCUCUUGCAGGGCGCACUCUCUGGUUCGACGGGUCAGCAUCAGUUUCGGCCGCUGGAGAAAGGCUAGGGGAAUGUGGCAUCGCUUCGGUGAUGUGUUAUAGCCCUUGGUCGUAUGCAGCGGCUGGGACUGAGGAACUCAGCCUGCCCUUAACUGGGCCGGGUCUUUUGACCACGCUAACGGGCUUAGGAUGCUGGCAUAAUGGCUUUAAGCGACCCGUCUUGAAACACGGACCAAGGAGUCUAACAUGCUUGCGAGUGUUUGGGUGGAAAACCCGAGCGCGUAAUGAAAGUGAAAGUUGGGAACCCUGUCGUGGGGUGCACCGACGCCCGGACCAGACCUUCUUGUGACGGCUCCGCGGUAGAGCAGGCAUGUUGGGACCCGAAAGAUGGUGAACUAUGCCUGAAUAGGGUGAAGCCAGAGGAAACUCUGGUGGAGGCUCGUAGCGAUUCUGACGUGCAAAUCGAUCGUCAAAUUUGGGUAUAGGGGCGAAAGACUAAUCGAACCAUCUAGUAGCUGGUUCUG
rnacentral:rRNA from 1 species